rnacentral:rRNA from 1 species
AGUGAACGCUGGCGGUAGGCCUAACACAUGCAAGUCGAACGGCAGCACAGUAAGAGCUUGCUCUUACGGGUGGCGAGUGGCGGACGGGUGAGGAAUACAUCGGAAUCUACUUUUUCGUGGGGGAUAACGUAGGGAAACUUACGCUAAUACCGCAUACGACCUACGGGUGAAAGCAGGGGAUCUUCGGACCUUGCGCGAUUGAAUGAGCCGAUGUCGGAUUAGCUAGUUGGCGGGGUAAAGGCCCGCCAAGGCGACGAUCCGUAGCUGGUCCGAGAGGAUGAUCAGCCACACUGGAACUGAGACACGGUCCAGACUCCUACGGGAGGCAGCAGUGGGGAAUAUUGGACAAUGGGCGCAAGCCUGAUCCAGCCAUACCGCGUGGGUGAAGAAGGCCUUCGGGUUGUAAAGCCCUUUUGUUGGGAAAGAAAAGCAGCAGGUUAAUACCCCGCUGUUCUGACGGUACCCAAAGAAUAAGCACCGGCUAACUUCGUG